GGCUUCGUGUAACAUCCCAAAAAUUUCAAACUUUUACAUAUGCAUUGCAUCCAUGAGCAUCAUGCCACAAUUGCAUGUUUGAAUUCAAAUUUGAAUCUCAAAAGACUUUGGAAAGAUUUUUAUUUCAUUUUAAACCCUAAGGUUUACACCCAUUUGAGCUUUGGAUUUUCAAACCAAUAGGUUUUAUGUAUAAAAGGGGUUUAAUGCAUAUAUAAGCUAUCCCAUAAUUUUUGGAUAAUUAUUUGGAGUUGAAAAGGUAUUUUAUUCAAUUCGUUAUAUAGCCCUAAGGCAUUUAUAGGGCAAAUGUAUUUUUAUAUAUUUUAUUUUGAGGGGAAACUACUCCCAAAAGUUGUAUCAUGGUAGAACAUGAUUUUACAAAUUUUCUAGAAUUUAAUUGGACCAAUUUGGAGUUCAAAAUCAAAAGAUACAAAAGAAAAACAGAAAAAAAUCAAAAGGAAAAAAAACGGACCGGUCCGGCCCCCUUGGACCGAACCGGCCCAGCCAGCUGCGAACCGCGCCCGAACCGGACUGCACGCCCGCGCGGGGUCACCGACAGGUGGGCCCCACCUGUCGGGGUUGUCUUCCCCGCAGGGAAGGUGGCCGCGAUUCACGCCGGAAUCACCGCCCGCGCCGUCUCCGCCGGAUUUCCGGCGAUCCCGUGAUCCCCGUCGGUGCCCGAGCACACCGCUAUAAAGCUCUCGCUCCCCUCUUCUAUUUUCCCCUUCUCCCUGCUCCCAAUUUCGCCUCCAGGCCGCGGAAUUGCUCGCCGGAGCUCCUUCGCGUCGCCGCCGAUCUCGCGCCGUCGCCGCCGCUCCGGUGAAGGAUCCGCGCCGCCGACCGCCGCCCGUCCGUCGCCGACCGCGGAGCCGUCUCCACCUCGCGCCCCCG
rnacentral:lncRNA from 1 species